rnacentral:rRNA from 1 species
GAUGAACGCUGGCGGCGUGCCUAAUACAUGCAAGUCGAGCGAACAGACGAGGAGCUUGCUCCUCUGACGUUAGCGGCGGACGGGUGAGUAACACGUGGAUAACCUACCUAUAAGACUGGGAUAACUUCGGGACACCGGAGCUAAUACCGGAUCAUAUAUUGAACCGCAUGGUUCAAUAGUGAAAGACGGUUUUGCUGUCACUUAUAGAUGGAUCCGCGCCGCAUUAGCUAGUUGGUAAGGUAACGGCUUACCAAGGCAACGAUGCGUAGCCGACCUGAGAGGGUGAUCGGCCACACUGGAACGGAGACACGGUCCAGACUCCUACGGGAGGCAGCAGUAGGGAAUCUUCCGCAAUGGGCGAAAGCCUGACGGAGCAACGCCGCGUGAGUGAUGAAGGUCUUCGGAUCGUAAAGCUCUGUUAUUAGGGAAGAACAAAUGUGUAAGUAACUAUGCACGUCUUGACGGUACCUAAUCAGAAAGCCACGGCUAACUACGUG